AGCAAUAGAUGAAUCUUUUCUGCAGCCUUUGAGCAGCAACUUGGAGGGAGGAACCCCUAUAGAGUUCCAAGGAGGCCGAUCCCCUAAAGAGAUCAACCCCAAGUUUAGAAUCUGCAAGGGUUCUAUCACCUGGUAUCAGAGUAGCGUUCUUGGCGUCUCGCUGCCCUUUCACAGCCAUCCAUCAACCCUCCACAACCAUCCAAAGCAAUUCCCACAAUUGCUUAAAAGAUCGUCACCGAAUUCCACCAUCAUCUCCACC
rnacentral:lncRNA from 1 species